CCGAACCCCUCCCUCUCCGUUCGCCUGGCCGCGCGGCCGCGGCCGACCACGCGCUCCAGGACGGCUUCCACCGGAGAAAGCGGCCUCGAGUUCUUCUCUGCUAGUAGUAGGCGCCUUCGUCUUCGGCUCUACCGGAAUGGCGUCGAGUGGGGAUCCGCCCGGAUCUGCUGAUGAAAAGAAAACUCCAGAAUCAGAAGGAUUGUCCAACGAAAGUCAAGGGCCUCCUGGAGGCUUUUCGAACCCUUUUGAUUUUGCUUCUAUGCAAACUUUACUCAAUGAUCCACACGCCUUGAUCUGUCAGAUUGUGCAAUCGUAAUAGUAAAUCUGCUAAAUCAAGUUCCCAAAGCAAAAAAAACAAAAGCUGUUCAAUUAAGAAUGGAUCAUUCAGGAAGGUGUGAUGUAAUCUGAAUAUUUCCCUCCGGAACUGCAGACAAAAGAGUACACUACUCCAUACCCUCAGGAAAUUAAAUCUAUCUAGACGUAGGAAUAUCUAACUGGGUGUCCAUCAAACCAGUUUAGCUUGAUCCAACGUUCUGUGAUCUUUAAUGAUGAUCGUUGUUUGGCACUGCAAGUCUGCAACAUUGGUGCCUGCCAACAUUCUGAAGGCCUGAAUGACAAUGUGCGCCAAGAAUUCAGCGAGUCAAUUUCACUCAGGUUCGCGGGACGAUCAACAAGGCCCAUCAGGUGCUCUUACGACGACAGGCAUCUUCCUUUGUUCCUAAAAAUCUCAUAACAUUUCAAUGCGAGAUGGACUCUCGGUUGUUUGCAGCAAAACUCAUCUCCGGCUCUGAACCCCGCAUGGUGUCGCUGGCGUUCUGAACCGCGAUUUGCCAUACAAGAAGACACUGCGAGAUUUUUCCAGCCAGAUCGAAAGAACUCCGGCCUGACGCUCGUGCCCCCAAGGCUUGGGGGCUCGCCGGAGUUCGGCGAGGCAGCGCUGCGGGAUCACGGCCUCGACGAGGGGGCCUAGCCGUCGGGUGAGGAUCGGACGGUUGCUGCCAAGGGGAUGGACGGUAAAUGAAAUACCGUCCAUUCCCGGAUGGUAAUUGGGAUACCGUCCACCCCUGGACGCCGGGUCCGGCACCAAGGCCACCCGCCGGCGACCUGAGAGCCAUCAGGCAAGGCCAGGAGAAGAACACUGCUUCAGAAUAAGCGCUAAUAGCGCCAGCGACCCACCCGCCGUCUGCCCCGUCGCGCGCGUGUUGUGCCGCUCGCCCGCUUCGUGGGGCGCCAACAUCCAGGCGCCUGCCGCCUGCAGGUGUCCUACCGCCAUGGCGUACUAUCGUCCCUUGCAAGCAAGUGGGAAUGUGGCAGCGUCCACAUCGAAUGCGGCGCCAUGACGUUCGACAGGCGGCCGAACUGUGUGCGGUGGCUGCCGUCUGGUGUCAGGCUGCUUGGAAGGAAGGGUGGCGGCGAUCUGGGCCAUCGCCGGCCGUGUCCGUGCCAUGACGAGGUGCGACGCGAUGCAAAGCACGGAGACGGCGAGACUGGCGCCGGAGCUUCAGGUUGGGCGGCAUGGCACCUUCUUGCUCUCCUCUGCAGCUCUGCUUCAGGGAGAAGUGAACCAAUAAACAGGGUAUCAUUAUCAUUUGUACAAGCUGAACAAAUCUACAGGCUUCAUGCUUGAUCUGUCAGAUUGUGCAAUCGUAUUAGUAGAAACUCUGCUAAAACGAAUUUUCAAAGUAAAGAAAAAUUAGAUGUGUUUAUUCAGAUGUGAUGUCACUCUGAAUAUUUGGCUCAGGAAUUGCAGAAAAAGGAUACCCUACUGUAUGCAACAA